rnacentral:rRNA from 1 species
AACGAACGCUGGCGGCAGGCUUAACACAUGCAAGUCGAACGCCCCGCAAGGGGAGUGGCCGACGGGUGAGUAACGCGUGGGAACAUACCCUUUUCUACGGAAUAGCUCUGGGAAACUGGAAUUAAUACCGUAUACGCCCUACGGGGGAAAGAUUUAUCGGGGAAGGAUUGGCCCGCGUUGGAUUAGCUAGUUGGUGGGGUAAAGGCCUACCAAGGCGACGAUCCAUAGCUGGUCUGAGAGGAUGAUCAGCCACAUUGGGACUGAGACACGGCCCAAACUCCUAGGGGAGGCAGCAGUGGGGAAUAUUGGACAAUGGGCGCAAGCCUGAUCCAGCCAUGCCGCGUGAGUGAUGAAGGCCUUAGGGUUGUAAAGCUCUUUCACCGAUGAAGAUAAUGACGGUAGUCGGAGAAGAAGCCCCGGCUAACUUCGUG